rnacentral:rRNA from 1 species
UUCGAUCCUGGCUCAGAUUGAACGCUGGCGGGAUGCUUUACACAUGCAAGUCGAACAGCAGCACGGACUUCGGUCUGGUGGCCGAGUGGCGAACAGGUGAGUAAUGUAUCGGAACGUGCCUAAUGUGAAGGGAUAACUACGCGAAAGCGUAGCUAAUACCGCAUACGCCCCUUCGGGGGAAAGCGGGGACCUUCGGGCCUCGCACUAUUAGAGCGGCCGAUAUCGGAUUAGCUGGUUGGUGGAGUAACGGCUCCGCAAAGGCGACGAUCCGUAACUGGUUUGAGAGGACGACCAGCCACACUGGGACUGAGACACGGCCCAGACUCCUACAGGGAGGCAGCAGUGGGGAAUUUUACGGACAAUGGGGAAACCUGAUCCAGCCAUCCCGCGUGUGCGAUGAAGACACCUUCGGGUUGUAAAGCACUUUUGGCAGGAAAGAAACGGCCUGGGAUAAUACCCGAUGCAACUGACGGUACCACUGCAGAAGUCGCGCAGCUAUACGUGCCAACAGCCGCGGUAAUACGUAGGGUGCAAGCGUUAAUCGGAAUUACUGGGCGUAAAGCGUGCGCAGGCGGUUCGGAAAGAAGAGAUGUGAAAUCCCGAGCUUAACUGGAACUGCAUUUUAACUACCGAGCUGAAGUGUGUCAGAGGAGGUGGAAUUCCACGCGUGUAGCAGUGAAAUGCGUGAUGCGGAGGAACACCGAUGGCGAAGGCAGCCUCCUGGGAUAACACUGACGCUCGCCGCACGAAAGCGUGGGGAGCCUGACAGGAUUAGAUACCCUGGUAGUCCACGCCCUAAACUGAGUGUCCAGCUAGCUGUUGGGGCCUUCGGGCCUUGGUAGCACAACUAACAGCGUAAGUUGACCGCCUGGGAAAUUACGGUCGCAAGAUUAAACUCAAGAUUGACGGGGACCCACGCACAAGCGGUGGAUGAUGUGGAUUAAUUCGAUGCAACGCGAAAAACCUUACCUACCCUUGACAUGUCUGGAAUCCCGAAGAGAUUUGGGGGUGCUCGCAAGAGAACCGGAACACAGGUGCUGCAUGGCUGUCGUCAGCUCGUGUCGUGAGAUGUUAGGUUAAGUCCCGCAACGAGCGCAACCCUUGUCGUCAAGAUUUCUUACGAGGCACUCUAAUGAGACUGCCGGUGACAAACCGGAGGAAGGUGAAGCGUCAAGUCCUCAUGGCCCUUAUGGGGCUUCACGUCAUACAAUGGUCGGGACAAGAGGUCGCCAACCCGCGAGGUAAUCGAAACCCGAUCGUGGUCCGGAUCACGGUCUGCUCGACUGCGUGAAGUCGGAAUCGCUGGUAAAAUAACAGGAUCAGCAUGUCGCGGUGAAUACGUUCCCGAGGUCUUGUACACACCGCCCGUCACACCAUGGGAGUGGGUUUUACCAAGAAGUAGUUAGCCUAACCGUAAGGAGGGCGAUUACCACAGUAAGGAUUUAUGACUGGGGUGAAGUCGUAACAAGGUAG